UACGUAGGUGGCAAGCGUUGUCCGGAAUUACUGGGCGUAAAGGGCGCGUAGGCGGCACUGUUAGUCAGGCGUGAAAGUCCUGGGCUCAACCUGGGAACUGCGCUUGAUACGGCAGAGCUAGAGGAUGGAAGAGGCUCGCGGAAUUCCCAGUGUAGAGGUGAAAUUCGUAGAUAUUGGGAAGAACACCGGUGGCGAAGGCGGCGAGCUGGUCCAUUACUGACGCUGAGGCGCGACAGCGUGGGGAGCAAACAGG
rnacentral:rRNA from 1 species